AGUAGCCGCGGUAAUUCCAGCUCCAAUAGCGUAUAUUAAAGUUGUUGCAGUUAAAAAGCUCGUAGUUGAAUUUCGGAAUCAAUGGAUCGGUCAUGCCACUCGGUGUGUACUGGUUUGAUUGGUUCUCACCUUCUAAGGAACCGUGAUGUCAUUAAUUUGGUGUCGCGGGGAAUUAGGACUGUUACCUUGAAAAAAUUAGAGUGUUUAAAGCAAGCUCACGCUUGAAUACAUUAGCAUGGAAUAAUGAAAUAGGACAUUGUAUUCUAUUUUGUUGGUUUCUAGGAUCGAUGUAAUGAUUAAUAGGGAUAGUUGGGGGCAUUAGUAUUCAAUUGUCAGAGGUGAAAUUCUUGGAUUUAUUGAAGACUAACUACUGCGAAAGCAUUUGCCAAGGAUGUUUUCAUUAAUCAAGAACGAAAGUUAGGGGAUCGAAGACGAUCAGAUACCGUCGUAGUCUUAACCAUAAACUAUGCCGACUAGGGAUCGGAUGAUGUUAAUUUUUUAAUGACUCAUUCGGCGCCUU
rnacentral:misc_RNA from 1 species